rnacentral:tRNA from 1 species
AUCUUCUGAGUAUGAUAUAGUACAGUUGCCUUCCAAGCAAAAAGAUUAAAAUAAUUUAAAGAAGAUA